GACGAACGCUGGCGGCGUGCUUAACACAUGCAAGUCGAACGGUGAAGCUCCAGCUUGCUGGAGUGGAUCAGUGGCGAACGGGUGAGUAACACGUGAGCAACCUGCCCCAGACUCUGGAAUAAGCGCUGGAAACGGCGUCUAAUACUGGAUACGAGAUCAAGCCGCAUGGUUAUGGUCUGGAAAGUUUUUCGGUUUGGGAUGGGCUCGCGGCCUAUCAGCUUGUUGGUGAGGUAAUGGCUCACCAAGGCGACGACGGGUAGCCGGCCUGAGAGGGCGACCGGCCCCGCGGGGACGAAGCCCGGGCACAGCCUCGUGGGGGGGAAGGCGGGGGGAAAUAUGGCACAGGGGGCGAAGGCGUGAGGAGGGGCCGCCGGGGGGGGAGGGACGGCUUGGGGUUUGAAAACCUCUUCCAGGGGGGAAGAGGAAAAGGGAAGGUUCCCGGAAAAAGAACCCCGGGCUACCUCGGGG
rnacentral:rRNA from 1 species